ACCUGCCAGGUGACAGGUGCUUAGGACACCCCUGCCGCUCCCGUCCUGCCUUCUAAUCACUAACCCCCCUUGCUACUGCCGCAUCCUGGGGGCCGGUGAGAUGGUGAGAGGCGAGGUCGAGGGAAGAUCGGGGAGAAGGGGAGCAUCCCAGAGCGGGAGUGAAGGUGAAGAUACUUGGAUUGUUGAAGAUGAUUUUCUUACACUUAAGGAAUGUAAAGAAUAGCAAGGCAUUUGUAUCUAAAAACAUUAAUGAAGAUUGUGACCCACGUAUGAACUACAACUGAAAUUUCAUGAUGAACUAUAUUUCUACUGGAAAACCACUAAAACAGCUAUCAAAGGGGAGAGGGCAGUCAACCAUGAUUAACAGUGAAAGAAGAAUAAACAGGUAUUUGAUGAUGGACUUUGCUAAAUGAUCUUCCCUGUUAAAAAUAGUAGCUCACUUCCUUCUUCUCAUGUUAUAUGUUUUAUUUAAAUGAAUGCGCACAGAAUUUCUAAUAUUGAGAAGAGAAUGAAGCACUGAUGAAUGAAUCAUUUUAUCAGCAUUUCUGUGUGCAGUGUUACCAUGGACCAAGAAGAAAUACUUGCAAAUGUUUCCAUCAAGAACCUCUAACAUGAAGAACAACCUGUCAGGGCCCAUGUGGGUGUAGCUACCAGCUCAAAAUGUCCUUGUAAUAUUGAAUAUAAUAUUCUAUGCAUUUCAGACAUUCCAUUAUGAUGCCAUGUUUAUUUAUAUACAAAUAAACAUAAUGUACUCCUCACAACUAAACCUUUAGUAAAAUUGAAGCAUCCCAAAUGUUUAUUUCUGACCGGAAGACAUUGACUCCUUCCCUGCCCUAAGCCCCAAAGGGUGGUUGUAGCCCACUUUGAGAAAUAAGACCCCGCACAGUGUUAAGUUCCAUUGAGUCUUUCAGAUCUCCACAAUUGUGUUUGCUGAGCUGGUCUCACGAUCAAUAUUUAUGUAGGAAGUAAAAUACAUAGAAUCAGCAUUCUUUUGUUUACUUAAGUAGGAGGGCAAUCAUUUAGCAAGCUAUUUUUCUAUACUUCAAAAUAUGAUUACAGUUCUUAAUUAUUUUCGGAACUGCAGUCAUACUUACCAAAUAAUUAUUUAGACACACAAAUUUGUGUUCUACCAAAGUAAUUAGGGGCCAGCCAUAAAACUUGGCAGUCAAUGACAGUUCCCAACAUUUCAUUAUUUUCGGUUUAUUUACGAGGAAACUAGAACCAGCCUCCCUGUGUGUGUUUUAAUUACUCGGUCCAGGAAGGAUUGACUUUAGAAAACCUCUUGGUUAAGAAGAUAAUCAGGAGCCCAUUCCCAGAAGGAGCUCAGAGCUUCAAAGGUGCCCGCAGCUCCAUGUCCCGGGGGUGUCACCGUGGGACCUUCAGCAUGCCUGAGAAGUCCUCGCUGGAGCCACCCGCUUCCCCGAAGACAGCUCUCUUCUGUGAGAGGUAACAAAAGCCCCGACGACCACAGCGAGCAGAAUGGGUUCUGCUGAGAGAAACAGAGAGCCCUGCAUCCAGCGCUCAGACCUGGCAGCAUGAAUGAAAGAUAUUUUAAGACUCUUUUCAGCGGGGUUUGUGCGUAUACUGAGUCAACAAUGUGCUUCUGCCACGUCUUCGCAGCCUCACCUUCCAGCGAUUCCAAGAGGCGGAUCUGUCCAUCAGCCAGUCUUUUACCCAAGAGGAAUGUGACAGGCCUGUGAGGCGGGGCCCGGGGCCUAAUUACGCUCUUCUCAUUGUUGCUUUGACGCUUCUGUUUUCACUUGCUGGCGUAUAGUCCUCCCUUUCAUUGCCUCUGUGAUUUUAUUUUCUUGUUGUCAAGUGGCAUAAAGGGCUCCUUAGUUUUGGAGUUUCAUGGAAACUUGCCUGGCUUGGCUGGGUGGAAGGAGACCAAGAUUCCGAUUCAGCAGUGAUCUGAAAGCCCUGACUGACUGGGAGGAAAAUAGGAGGCAGGCUGCCAGGUGGGCAGUUGCAUUUUAGAGGAAACAUUUAGUGACACGGAUUUUUGGCCUUCUUAAAAGGUGAACUACACAGAACGGGAGUUAAUGCAGCACAGCUUUGGAACAAACUACCAUCCAGAAGGGGCCUGGGAAUUUAAGUUUGGCAUCCAAAUUUGACUACCAAAAUAAUUCAGAGAAGAAGACAUGCUUCGUGUAUUCAAUUUAACAACUCUUCAUUGAGCUGAAGCUCUUAGUUGCCAUUUUUAUAAUUUUUUUAACUUUCUUUAAAAAAAAGUUACCUACAUACUUGCACUUAUAGCAUGUCGAUAUGUAUUUCUUAAGGGUCUCUCUACUAUGCUAAUGUUAGGGCUGAGGACACACCAUCCCAAAAUAUGGCUGUAGAACAGAAUAAUAUGAUGCCCCAAAAUACAUAUCUUUGACGUAAUUUGAGCUGAUUAUUCUGAGAAAUUUCAAGAAGGAGUAGCUCUGAAAAGCUGUCCCUUUGUAAAGGAGAUUUACAUCUAUAAAGGAACUCUGUAUCAGUAAAGUAUCUGUCUGGACGAAGAUGCUCUAGACAACUUUUGUCACUGUAGAGUCACAUUUGCAUGCCUGGAGAACCUUUAUUUACAGUGCAUAUCCUGCGUCACCUUCCUGUAACUUGUGUGGCUACAAUUUUCCAGGAGCCACAAGUUUCCCUAGUUUGGGAUGCUACGUAAACAUCACUCAGUUGCACUUUCUUUGAGCCUCAGAUUUUUGUGGGACUCUUGUGGGUAUGUACCUAAUUAAAUAUGGGUUUUAUUCUUUUAAGUUGUUUUAUGUCAGUUUAAUUCAUAGCCCAGACUAGGAAGGUAGAGGGAAGCCAUUUCCUCCUCACCUACAUUCAUGUUAUAGAUUCCUCUUGUGCACACUGACUCUUCUAGGUGACAAUAAUCAGAAUGGAUCUAAAAGCUUCCUUGGCAACAUAGCCCAGAAAAAAAAAAGAUAUUAUUAGAAUUCAGGGAUUGGUUUCAACCCAUUUCCAAUCAGGUUACAUGUUUUCUGUCAUGUUAUUUGAUGUUAUUCAUGUUAUUUGAUGCAUGUUGAUUUUCAUCCUGAAUUGUUCCAGUGAUUUAUGUAUUUCAUAGAGAAAAAUUAAGAGGUAAAGAAAAUAUUAUCAUCAUUAUUAUUUUGUGGUCCUGGGGGUCUAAUCGAGGACCCUGUGCAUGAUAAAUACAUGCUUUUAUCAAUUAGCCAUACCCCCAGCCCCCAAAUAUUUAAACUUAUGAUAGAAGUUCACAUUGGCAGUCUAUAUUGAUUAAACUCAUCGUAUGCCAUUCAUUCACAGAUGUUGGCCUUUGUUGGCUCAGUGUUGCUCUUAAACCUAAGAUUGGUUGGAACUCUGUAAAUUCAGCAAGCUUUGGACUGAGAACCACGUUUUAAAAUUGCUUGGGGUGUGUAUGUGUGAGUGUGUGUGUGUGUGUAAGUAAGUUCUGGUCUUUCAGAAGGCCAAUAUUCAUCCUUUUUUUUUUUUCUUUUUAAUGCUAUAGCCAGGACAGGUAGAAAAAUGUAUAUCAUCCUACUUCAAGCCAAAGUAACAGAGCUAAUUAUUGUUCUAGAGAACUUACAACUGAGGAUUGACAUUGGAUGAUUUAUAUAGAUUAUCUAAUACCAGCUGAUAUGCUAUAAAUGGAAAUGAGAAGGAAUGAGCUUAGUGAGAAAAGAGGAUGAGUAGAAUUUCUGAGGAUGGGGAGGAUGUGCGUGCUUUCAGGUCUAGUGCUGAUUUUAAUCUAGAGUGUUGUUCAUUCUUGGUGUUACAAGAGGUGCUCAUAAAACAGCCAUGGGUUCACCCAAAAGCCCUUAGUAAUUAUGACACAGUGCUAAAAUAGAGCAUCACCCAGGAAUGGAAGCGUGCCCGCACCUUUUAGUAAAUUGUUAUUCAUUUUCCUUCUUUAGUGUUGAGUUUGCAUUUAGUCAGUGUGAUUUUUAAAAACAUCAAUCAUGAACCCUCCUGAAAAUCAUCAGGGAAAUGGGGAGGAGGGUCCUCUUGGUGUUUAGAAUGAAAUUCUAAUUCCUGUCCAUGCCUUCAAGGCCCUGCAGGGUCUGGCUUGCCUCUCCAACUUCACCUGGGGGCCGUGCUCUGUCCUGCUCACACUCUCCAGCCAAAACUGGCUUCCCUGGCAUUCUCCCAACAGACAGGUUCUGUCUUUCCUCCAGUGCUUGGCAUUGGCUCUUCCUUGGGCCUGGAAUGUGCUGCCUCAGGCACUUUUUUUGUUUUUGCAUACUUAAAUUAUUAGCUCAAAUGUCACCUCUUGUGGGAGGCCUUCCCUAAUACACUCCAGCCCAGACUUCACUGUGUCCCCGUGGAAUAUUUAUCUCCAUCUGCAAUUGUCUUUUUUUAUUACUUGGUGUGGCCUUUCCACCCCACAGGGUAAGAGCCUUGAGAGCAGGAUGGCUGUGAGAACUGGCAUGAAGUUCUAUCGUUUGAACAAAUGAACUGAUGAAUAAUGGAUAGCCACGGUCGGUCUGUAGAUGAAAUCCAACCUCAUGACUGUGAAGACUCCAGGGUCCCCAGGCUGGAGUCUACUCAUUUACUUCCUGUUUCACAGCCUAAGAACAAUUCUCCUUGAAUUGCCCCUGCACUCAGGUGUCCUUCCCACCCCGAGGAGACUGAACCCAGCCGAGGGGUUCUCCAUUAAGUCCACAUUAAACAUUAGCCAAAGUUGUUGGACCUAAAUUUAAAAUGUCUGAAAAUAGCCUUGUCAGCAAUGAAUAGUUAUAUUCAUGGUAUUAUAAUUCUCUCAUUUUGAUUGGCUAGAUCUCAGGCUCUUUAGAGUACCUUGAUAUGAUCACAAGCAUCUUCUCCAAAGAGAGAUGAGCAGUGAAGAUAUUGCCUUUCCAGAUUGCUUCUUUAAUUUUAUUUAACAAACACUUGCACAGUGUUCGCUGUGUGGCAUGCCCUUCUCUCAAUACCUGACAUAGGCUGCCACAGGUGGGGUUCUCUGGAAGCAGCAGUGGAGACAGGGCUUGGGUGUGAAGUGCUUAUAGGGAUUAACACCUUUGAGGGGAAGUUAGAGCAACCUCAGCCAACCAGCUGGGAACUGGAGGCAAGGGUUGCAGGACCAGGCUAAAGGGCCCAGCUUCUCCCCACCCAUGUCACUCAGUCACCAAAUUGCUUCCCCAGGAAGGGCGUGGCCUCGGGCAAGGCAACUGUCUGCAGCUGGGACAGAUAAGUUGCUGAGAGCUGGAGGAGCUUCCUGACCACGCUCUGGAGCUGAGCGGCAAGUCCCUUCUUGAAGCAGGAUGGGGACAUCGCAUGUCUGUCUGCUCAAAUAGGAACUCUUUUGACCCUCGUAAAAACCUCUGAGGACCUGGAGUCUCCACUGUCCCUGGGGGAAUCAUGGCAGUUCACAACCCCUUUGACUUCAGAAUAUCCCUCACCUUGGCCGCCAGAAACAAAGAGCCUCCUUAGCAGAAAAAGCCUCAGAGCUUGCUGUCCCAUUGCAUGGUGAAUGCCAGUGACAAGCUAAGGAGAGGUAAGAGCCAGCAAUGUUGAUGGCCACAACAGGAGAAUUCUGAAGAUUUUAUACUAUAAUGAGGAAGAGGGAGACAUUCAUGUAUUUAACACAUGUUGAAAACCCUGAUUAAAAAAAAUCUAUAGAAAUGAAUAAUUCUCAGCCUUUAUUAUAAUGUAACUUAUAUGACCUUUAUUUGCAUAAAUUUCCUUUAGGGACAUUGUCAGAUUUUGACACAAUUCUCAAAUUUGUGUGCAGAUCCUGGCUCCCCAUGAAAGUAUGGAAGAAUAUAGUCACCUUUUAUACCUACAGGUUCCACAUUUGCAGAUUCAACCAACCACAAAUUAAAAAUAAUCAAAUCAGCAUGGUGGCACGUUCCUGUAAUUCCAGCAGCUCAGGAGGCUGAGGCAGGAGGAUUGUGAGUUCCAAGCCAGCAUCAGCAACUCAGCAAGGCCCUAAGCAACUCAGGGAGACUCUGCCUCAAAAUAAAAUAUAAAAGAGGGCUGGGGAUGUGGCUAAGUGGUUAAAUGCCCAUGGGUUCAAUCCCCAGUUCAAAAAAAAAAUUAA